CCGAAACUUCGGCCGGCCGCAUAGCUCACACGCGCGUUACGCUCGUACACACAACCACGUUGCUCUGGUCCCACGCACCGCUUCCUGCCUCUCACCUUAUCUUCUCAGGACCAAGCUCCUCCACUCAUUCUGUCCUCCACUCGUUCCAUCCUCCUCCUCAUACGCAUUCCCUCCUCUGCUUCUUCUUUCUCAAAUCACUUCAUACAUGGCAUCUCAUGCUCCACGCAGAGACGGCGCGUACAGCCGUCGAUUUUUUUGUUGCCAUGCUCGGCCCAACCUCUCCCAUGUCGCAGUGUAGGCCAUGUUCGCUGCCACCGUGGUUCCGGCAUGCUUUUUUGCUGCAUAAUUUUUGCUGGAACCGCAAUUUGUUUUUGCUGGAAGCAUCUUUCGUUUUUGCUGCAUAUUGAGAGGAUGCUGGUGCCUUCGCUGUAUGAUUUUUUGCUACAUCCAUUUUUCUUGCUUGAACCGCUCCAUUUUUUCCUGGAACCAGAGCUCGACUUUGCUACAAUGCUAGGACGGUGGCUGCCAAGCAUUUUGCUGCAUCGAUUUUUUUGGCUGGAACUAGCAAUUAGUUUUGCUACAUCCAGCCGAAAGCAGAGCUGGAACUGGUGAGAUUUUUGUCUAAGACCAUUGGCGGCAGCGCAUUUUUUGCUGGAACUGUGUUACUUUUUUGCUGGAAUAGUUUUUCAUUUAUGCUACCACUAGCGAAAACCAUUUUUUUGUUGUUGAAGCAUUUUUGCUGGAACCAGCAACCACGAAAGCUACAACCGGUUAACAAUUUUGCUACAAUGGCGACGGCGGGCGACAUCGACGAGCUUUUUUUUGCUGGAACCGACACCCUUUUUUGCUACAACUGGAUGACAUUUUUGCUGCUACCGGCAAUCUGAGGGAGAGUACAGGUUUUUUGCGAGCUCGUCGGAGGAGGUGCUGCGCCCGGCGACCGCCGUGCGCCGGGGAUGCGGCGGCCGCCACCGGAGCUGUGACUGUCGAAACGGGGACCUGCAACUACAGGGACAAGCUGUUGCAUUCGCGGAGCCGGCGAGAAACAAAAGAGACGACGACGGCAACGGCGGCGCCGGCGGCCGGCAAGGGCGGCGACAGGCGAAAUACGCCGGGCAGAGCUUCUAGAUCGGGCGCAUCGCUCGUCCCUGACGGCGCGAUGGGAUUUUUUAUCAGAGAACAACAAGACAGAGGAGGAAGGGUAGGAGAUCGUGCGGUUCAUUUUUGCAGAUCGUACGGUACCGGUGCGACCGGCCCAAAUUUGGGCCGGCGCACCGGCGCCUAUCAGUCGCCUUAAACACAAUCACGUGAAUUGAACAUGUGCGCUUGGUUCGGCUUGUACGAGUCUUAUGUGAACUCCCGGCAAAAAAGAAAAAGUCUUGUGUGAACGUACGUUUAUACUACUCCGUUCAAUUUCUUUUAGACGGUCAAACAAAAAUGUUCCGACCCUCAACGUUCAUACUUGAUUCAUCUUUUUUUCACUUUUUGUCCCGCUUUAGACUACCUCACUUGCAUCGUUCACACUUCAAACCCUAUAAAAGAAAAAUAAAUAUUAUUUACUAACUAAAAGCCAUGGCUACCACUUUCGGAGCACAUGAGUUCUUACAUGUAUUUUCUUUAACUAACACGGUGGCACUUUCAAAUGUGACGGUGUUAUCUUUAAUGCGUCAAAAGUGUUAGAAGAUUAAAGGUCCUA
rnacentral:rRNA from 1 species